GAGGAAUAUUGGUCAAUGGGCGAUGGCCUGAACCAGCCAAGUAGCGUGAAGGAUGACUGCCCUAUGGGUUGUAAACUUCUUUUAUAAAGGAAUAAAGUCGGGUAUGCAUACCCGUUUGCAUGUACUUUAUGAAUAAGGAUCGGCUAACUCCGUGCCAGCAGCCGCGGUAAUACGGAGGAUCCGAGCGUUAUCCGGAUUUAUUGGGUUUAAAGGGAGCGUAGAUGGAUGUUUAAGUCAGUUGUGAAAGUUUGCGGCUCAACCGUAAAAUUGCAGUUGAUACUGGAUGUCUUGAGUGCAGUUGAGGCAGGCGGAAUUCGUGGUGUAGCGGUGAAAUGCUUAGAUAUCACGAAGAACUCCGAUUGCGAAGGCAGCCUGCUAAGCUGCAACUGACAUUGAGGCUCGAAAGUGUGGGUAUCAAACAGGAUUAGAUACCCUGGUAGUCCACACGGUAAACGAUGAAUACUCGCUGUUUGCGAUA
rnacentral:rRNA from 1 species